UCAUUGUAUGCUGUCCCCUGGAGUUGCUGUGAGGUUGUCUGUCGUGUCUCCCGUGUCUCCCUGUUACGCUGCUCCCUUUGGAACUCUGUUUAGACCACCUUUGUUUUCGGACUCUGUAUUCAGCCACUCAACUAUGCCCUGACUGAACCAACAGAAGUAUUUGACUUUGCCCAGGCAGCACAAAAAUGGCUUCCAAUGCCCCAGACCUGAUGGGUGGACAGAGCAGAACAGGAGUAGUGAAUAAUUUUUUUUAUUCCAUAAAUAAACUGAUUAAAUUGUCCGUUGUCAUUUAUAAA